rnacentral:rRNA from 1 species
UACAGAGGGUGCAAGCGUUGUUCGGAAUUAUUGGGCGUAAAGGGCGCGUAGGCGGUGCGGUAAGUCACCUGUGAAACCUCUGGGCUUAACUCAGAGCCUGCAGGCGAAACUGCCGUGCUUGAGUGUGGGAGAGGUGCGUGGAAUUACAGGUGUAGCGGUGAAAUGCGUAGAUAUCUGUAGGAACACCCGUGGCGAAGGCGGCUCGCUGGACCACAACUGACGCUGAGGAACGAAAGCUAGGGGAGCAAACGGG